GACGAACGCUGGCGGCGUGCCUAAUACAUGCCAGUAGAACGCUGAAGGAGGAGCUUGCUUCUCCGGAUGAGUUGCGAACGGGUGAGUAACGCGUAGGUAACCUGCCUGGUAGCGGGGGAUAACUAUUGGAAACGAUAGCUAAUACCGCAUAAGAGUAGAUGUCGCAUGACAUUUGCUUAAAAGGUGCAACUGCACCACUACCAGAUGGACCUGCGUUGUAUUAGCUAGUUGGUGAGGUAACGGCUCACCAAGGCAACGAUACAUAGCCGACCUGAGAGGGUGAUCGGCCACACUGGGACUUAGACACGGCCCAGACGCCUACGGGAGGCAGCAGUAGGGAAUCUGCGGCAAUGGACGGAAGUCUGACCGAGCAACGCCGCGUGAGUGAAGAAGGUUUUCGGAUCGUAAAGCUCUGUUGUAAGAGAAGAACGAGUGUGAGAGUGGAAAGUUCACACUGUGACGGUAUCUUACCAGAAAGGGACGGCUAACUACGUG
rnacentral:rRNA from 1 species